rnacentral:rRNA from 1 species
GACGAACGCUGGCGGCGUGCUUAACACAUGCAAGUCGAGCGGUAAGGCCCUUUCGGGGGUACACGAGCGGCGAACGGGUGAGUAACACGUGGGUGACCUGCCCUCAGCUCUGGGAUAAGCCUGGGAAACCGGGUCUAAUACUGGAUAUGACUCCAUGACGCAUGUUGUGGGGUGGAAAGCCUUGUGCGGCUGAGGAUGGGCCCGCGGCCUAUCAGCUUGUUGGUGGGGUGAGGCCUACCAAGGCGACGACGGGUAGCCGGCCUGAGAGGCGACCGGCCACACUGGGACUGAGACACGGCCCAGACUCCUACGGGAGGCAGCAGGUGGGGAAUCUUGCGCAAUGGGCGAAAGCCUGACGCAGCGACGCCGCGUGAGGGAUGA